CUCUAAAAGGUGAAACGCUUGCAAAAACUGCUCUAAAAAAGAUCCUAAAAGAAAAAAAAGAAAAGAAUCUUUAGUAAAAGUUUUUAGCCAUCUGAGCAAAGAAACUUAAUUUAAUUCAUGUGCCAGAAAAACAAUUUGGAUGCAGCUAUUUUUUUGAGUUUUGUACCUGAGCCAUGGCUAAAAUUUUGAAGAUCUCUGUUAGUGUCUAUCUGUGUGUCUGUGUUGGAAGUCUCUAUGCUUGUCUGCCUCCAGUGGUAGAAUUUCUGAAGGAGCUCUGUGUAAUCGGCUUGAGCCAAUCGAGUUACGGAACACGUCCAUUGCCUGGAAAGUCCCCUCAGGCCCCUGCCAGUUGAUACUCAUCCUCCGUAGACACCCGUUGCUUUGAUUUCUAUCACCAUAGAUUAGUGUUGCCUCUUCUUGAACUUCACAUAAAUGCAAUCGGUAAGUAUCUAGCUUCUUUCACUUAAUAUAACAUUUAAAAAAAAAUUUAUUGAGGGGCCGGCCUGGUGG
rnacentral:lncRNA from 1 species